CGGGUGAGUAACACGUGGAUAACCUACAUAUAAGACUGGGAUAACUUCGGGAAACCGGAGCUAAUACCGGAUAAUAUUUUGAACCGCAUGGUUCAAAAGUGAAAGACGGUAUUGCUGUCACUUAUAGAUGGAUCCGCGCUGCACUAGCUAGUUGGUAAGGUAACGGCUUACCAAGGCAACGAUGCAUAGCCGACCUGAGAGGGUGAUCGGCCACACUGGAACUGAGACACGGUCCAG
rnacentral:rRNA from 1 species